GAAAUGCGAUAAGUAAUGUGAAUUGCAGAAUUCAGUGAAUCAUCGAAUCUUUGCACGCACAUUGCGCCCGCCAGUAUUCUGGCGGGCAUGCCUGUUCGAGCGUCAUUUCAACCAUCAAGCCCCCGGCUUGUGUUGGGGACCUGCGGCUGCCCGCAGGCCCUGAAAAACAGUGGCGGGCUCGCUGUCACACCGAGCGUAGUAGCAUACAUUCUCGCUCAGGGCGUGCUGCGGGUUCCGGCCGUUAAACGACCUUCAUAACCCAAGGUUGACCUCGGAUCAGGUAGGAAGACCCGCUGAACUUAGGC
rnacentral:misc_RNA from 1 species